rnacentral:rRNA from 1 species
GAUGAACGCUGGCGGCGUGCUUAACACAUGCAAGUCGAACGAUGAAGCCCAGCUUGCUGGGUGGAUUAGUGGCGAACGGGUGAGUAACACGUGAGUAACCUGCCCUUAACUCUGGGAUAAGCCUGGGAAACUGGGUCUAAUACCGGAUAGGAGCGUCCACCGCAUGGUGGGUGUUGGAAAGAUUUAUCGGUUUUGGAUGGACUCGCGGCCUAUCAGCUUGUUGGUGAGGUAAUGGCUCACCAAGGCGACGACGGGUAGCCGGCCUGAGAGGGUGACCGGCCACCACGGGACUGAGACACGGCCCAGACUCCUACGGGAGGCAGCAGUGGGGAAUAUUGCACAAUGGGCGCAAGCCUGAUGCAGCGACGCCGCGUGAGGGAUGACGGCCUUCGGGUUGUAAACCUCUUUCAGUAGGGAAGAAGCGAAAGUGACGGUACCUGCAGAAGAAGCACCGGCUAACUACGUG